GACGAACGUUGGCGGCGUGCUUAAUACAUGCAAGUCAACUGAAGCAGUGGUAGCAAUAUCGCUGUGGAGGUGGCGCACGGGUGAGUAACACGUAGGUAAUCUGCCUUCAGGUCUGGCAUAACUCCGGGAAACCGGGGCUAAUAGCAGAUGAUGCAGCGGCUCGACAUCGAGACAGUUGUUAAAGCUAUGGCGCCUGAAGAUGAGCCUGCGUCUGAUUAGCUAGUUGGCGGGGUAACGGCCCACCAAGGCAACGAUCAGUAGCUGGUCUGAGAGGAUGAUCAGCCACACUGGAACUGAGACACGUUCCAGACUCCUACGGGAGGCAGCAGUAAGGAAUAUUGCUCAAUGGGAGAAAUCCUGAAGCAGCAACGCCGCGUGAGGGACGAAGGGCUUUUGCUUGUAAACCUCUGUAGUGAGAGAAAAAAAUCCCAAUCUUUGGGACAUGAUGGUAUCUCAAAAGUAAGCCCCGGCUAACUACGUG
rnacentral:rRNA from 1 species